rnacentral:ncRNA from 2 species
ACGGUGUAACUCGGGUACGAUCACUCCGACGUCACGGUGUUCGGGAAGUCCGGUGAGAAACCGGCGCGGUACUCGCCACUGUGAGCAGGUCCGGCGGGACCGAGAAGUCAACGUCUUCAGCCACUGGGCAGCGCCCGGGAAGGUCGUUCCGCCGGUAGACCCUGUUGAGCCAGGAGACCGGCCGUGACCGACCCCCCGAA